CUACCACAUAAGGAGAAGGGGGAAGCUGAAGGACGACUGAAGGACAAAGCCUGGGAGGAAGACUAUGAGCCUUCAGCACGAGCGACCCCUGAGGGACCACCGGAGACUGAUAUGCAGGCACCCUUGGGGGCUCGUCUGGGAGAGCUUUGGUUCCUGAAUUCUCAUUUGAUCCAGGAGAGGCGCCCCACCAUUUGGUGGCUCCUGUUCGAGUCGGAUCGGGACUAACGCCAUCUUGAACCUGAAUAAAGGCAAGCAAAGAUUUUGAUUUUUUACGAGCUCCCUUGCUGGCUGCAGCACUAUAUUUUGCCCGUAAUUCUGCACGCGAAGAUCUGAAUGAAGACGAUGGAGUCUUUUCCAGGAGCUGGAUCACCCCGAAAUGCUGAACGGUAACACAAGCUCAAAUCGACCCUGAAAGCGGGCCCAACCCCUUGACUGAAGGCGUUUCCCACACCCUCAAGAUUGGAUGGCGCAAAAUGAUAAGAAAUGCUAUACUUCCUGGUAUUGUUUUUACAGGGGCAAUUGAGCCAUGGGCAAGAAUGGAGGAAUAACUUUUUCACUUUGGGGACGGAAGUGGCCAAGGCCUUUAACCUUAGUAACUGCUGGAUUUGUGGAGGACCGGGGGGAACUGAAAGUUGGCCCUGGGUAGCUGGCCCGGUCGAACCCAAGUGGUGGGUCAGUAAUUCGAGUGAAGUUCAUAAUGGAACACAAUUUUGGAAAGAGGAAGGAGGCCCGUGGCAAUUGCACUUGUCAGCUUGGGGUAUAUAUUGCUUGAACAGAACAGGAAUGGUAGCGGUAGGAAAAAGCAUUUGCAAUUGGACUCUGUCUCCUGGAUAUGAUUGUACCGAUCCUGGAUGUAGACCUAUAAACUGUACAGCACGUAGUAGGAGAUGGAACACCACACACGUCCAGCUGAGAAACGGGACUUGGCUGAAAUGCUCAUAUAGGGAAUUUUUUGGAUCCGGAUGUGAAACCGUGGCAAGAGCACAAGUGGGGGGGACAAUUUGACGGCCAGAUCUUGAGCUGUCAGCGUGGUAACACCACUAAGGAACAGCAUGUGGUACGGGUCUAUCGCUGGAGAUGGCAGGAUGAGAAUGGGAGAUACAGUAUCAACUCAUAGAAGGCACAGAAGGUACAAAGAGAAAAUAGUCUGCAGUAAACUGAGGAGCAGUGAAACAGGAGACUGCAGGCUGACGUGUCAAAUCAAUUACAGCCAUUUAUUUUCAUUCCAAAUGGCAGUCUUCAUGGCUCUAGAGCAAUCUGACUUAUGAGUAAACUAGAAGAGCAAUCGCCACACUCAGUAAGGAAGAGCUGCUGCAGAGGUUCACUGAAAUCAUAUGUUGGACAAACUAUCUUCCCUGUUCUACUUCUGUCAAAGAACUUACUACGAUUUUUCAGGUACUACUUCGUGUAAUUUCUGUACAUUGACUUAAGAAGUUAAGAUUUUUCUCUGUGCAAGUAUGGAUCCUAGAUCAAAGUUCCAAAUCCAAAUACCACAGACCUUUGUGUAUUUGUAUGGAUUCAGAAUUCAAAUUACAGCUUUGUCCUUUGAGAAGAAGAAAGGCUGAAGUUCUCACUGAGUUCAAUUUUGUGGAUUCUGAUGCUGAAAUCUGAAUACUGUGGCUGGAGAUUUCAUGGUAUAUUAACUUUGAUAUAUUCUGUGUAAUUUCUUGAUCUCAAAUUACAAAUAAAUACAUAAAUCAAAUUUAUUAACACCAGGUUUUCUGUUAUCAUUUUAAACAGUGCUGCUUUAUAUUUUUCUGUCACCAGCUACUACUACUACUUGGGUGCAGUCUAAUCUCACUGCACCUUAUGCAGCAUCAGAUGACUAAUAUUUGUGGAUCAGCUUUUCAUCAUUAAUAUAUAUUUUUUUUGUCUUUAUCACAGGAGUGCUCAAGAGUGGGAGAAAAGCUAACUGAACUCUCAUUGCUCAAUAUAGUCCUGAGCACUGUUUAAGAAUCCUUUUCAGAGACAAGUUCAUCAAGGCUCCUAUUCAAAGCACACUGAACUCCUUGUGAGUUUUCGCGUGAAGUUCAGAGGCUUUUGGCUUGCUCCAUGAGAAAAAGAAAGCUUCCAUUGGACAGUAUAUCUAAGCAACUCUUCCAACUUUGGGGAUAAAAUUAAUCUCCUACAUACGUAGGUCAGCCACAGCAAUUUGCUGGGCAUAGCAAAAGAAAAUCGUAACUCGUUUCCUGUGUGUUUUUAACACAAAGAUGUCUGUACCAAAAUAAUCUAAAGUGACUUUACUACAGAUCAGAUCAUCACUUAUUAUCAAAAAGGGAUCGACUUAAAUCCCAAUCAAAAAAUCAGCUGAAGCUUCUCAAAAGUCACUUAUCAUAUGAAAGUAGUUAAAUGUAGUAAGUGGUAGCAAGGUUUCUAACAUACCUUUUAUAGUUCAUCCUAACUUUCUUCCCUUGCAGCAAGUCAGCUGAUCUUCCUGGGGCUGCUGUGCAACAGAGCCAUUGAGCAGAUCCUUCUUGUGGAAUACAUAUGCUUCAAAUGCAGAAAAUAUAUUUCUAAUAAUGAUAUACUGUAACUGAAGUGAAGUAGUGUAAUGAAUAUACUGAAUGGAGAAUGAUGAUAAGGAUAGAAGAUAUAAUGUGCAUUUUUUUUGCAUCUGUUUCUAUUCUGAAGAUGAAAAAAUCUAUUUAUCUGUGUGUUGAUUAGCAUGCAAUUGGGGCAGUAAAUCAGUACUUCACAUUCCAUUCAGUUCUUGUGCACUCUCUGGUUUGUCAUUCACACAGAUAUGGAAGAAGCAGAUUCAUCGUUUGUCAUCUAUGAG